CCUACGGGUGGCAGCAGUGAGGAAUAUUGGUCAAUGGCCGGAAGGCUGAACCAGCCAUGCCGCGUGAAGGUCAGUGCACUAUGGGCGUUAAACUUCUUUUGUGCGGGAGCAAUAAUGGUCACGUGUGGCCAGACGAGAGUACCGUACGAAUAAGCAUCGGCUAACUCCGUGCCAGCCGCCGCGGGUAUACGGGGGGUGCAAGCGUUCACCGGGUUUUUUGGGUUUAAAGGGUGCGUAGGCUGGGAGGUAAGUCAGCGGUGAAAUGCCCCCGCUCAACGGGGUGAAGUGCCAUUGAUACUGGCGUGCUGGAAUGCGGAUGCCGUGGGAGGAAUGUGUGGUGUAGCGGUGAAAUGCAUAGAUAUCACACAGAACACCGAUUGCGAAGGCAUCUCACG
rnacentral:rRNA from 1 species